GUCGUCGUGGCCGAGUGGUUAAGGCGUCAGACUAGAAAUCUGUUGGGCUCUGCCCGCACAGGUUCUAAUCCUGUCGGCGACG
rfam:Ciona savignyi cont_30047, whole genome shotgun sequence.